GAUCUUCUGAGAAGGGUUCG
rnacentral:snRNA from 1 species